rnacentral:sRNA from 2 species
AUAUUGCACGUGUCGUGUAGGUGAGAACCUGCGCUCAGGUUCGAGCCGAGCGAAGCGAGACAGCAACGCGCUAGCGUUGACCCGAAGGGCGAGUCAUCCUGCACGACCCACCA